rnacentral:rRNA from 1 species
AUUGAACGCUGGCGACAUGCCUUACACAUGCAAGUCGAACGGCAGCACGGGUGCUUGCACCUGGUGGCGAGUGGCGAACGGGUGAGUAAUACAUCGGAACAUGUCCUGUAGUGGGGGAUAGCCCGGCGAAAGCCGGAUUAAUACCGCAUACGAUCUACGGAUGAAAGCGGGGGACCUUCGGGCCUCGCGCUAUAGGGUUGGCCGAUGGCUGAUUAGCUAGAUGGUGGGGUAAAGGCCUACCAAGGCGACGAUCAGUAGCUGGUCUGAGAGGACGACCAGUCACACUGGGACUGAGACACGGCCCAGACUCCUACGGGAGGCAGCAGUGGGGAAUUUUGGACAAUGGGCGAAAGCCUGAUCCAGCAAUGCCGCGUGUGUGAAGAAGGCCUUCGGGUUGUAAAGCACUUUUGUCCGGAAAGAAAUCCUUGGCCCUAAUACGGUCGGGGGAUGACGGUACCGGAAGAAUAAGCACCGGCUAACUACGUG